rnacentral:rRNA from 1 species
ACACGCAUGACACACUGCAUAUCAAUAAGCGGAGGAAAAGAAACUAACUAGGAUUCCCUUAGUAACUGCGAGUGAAGCGGGAAGAGCUCAAAUUUGAAAUCUUCAAGGUUCUACCUUGACGAAUUGUAGUUUAUAGAAGUGUUUUCUGUUAGUAGAGUGGCAAAAGUUCUUUGGAAUAGGACAUCAUAGAGGGUGAGAAUCCCGUAUUUGGUCAUUCUUUCUAGCUUUGUGAUACACUUUCAACGAGUCGGAUUGUUUGGGAAUGCAGUCCAAAAUGGGUGGUAAAUUUCAUCUAAAGCUAAAUAUUGGCGAGAGACCGAUAGCGAACAAGUACCGUGAGGGAAAGAUGAAAAGAACUUUGAAAAGAGAGUUAAACAGUACGUGAAAUUGUCAAAAGGGAAGCGUUUGACACCAGUGUUGUUUUUCCGAAAAUCAAUUACGAAUGUUUUGUUUUUAAGAAGUUAUGACUUCAUCGGCUUGCUUCUUUCUUUACGAAACUUUCUUAAUGCACUUUUCGGUUAACAAGUCAACAUCAAUUUCUUUUGUUGUAAAAGGGUACGAGGAAGGUGGCUUUCUUUUCGGAGAAAGUGUUUAUAGCCUUGUACCUCUGCAAUCGGAGAGAUUGAGGUCUGCAGCGUAGAUCCUUCGGGGUUAGAUACAUUUGUGCUAAGUUAUAGCUUUUCAUAGACAACUUGUUGACUAUGUUAAGUCUUGUAGCUUACUCGCUUAUGCUAUUUUACCUACGCUUAGGAUGUUGAGUCGUAGAGCACGCA